UGUGGAGACGUCGCUGCCGUG
rnacentral:siRNA from 1 species